UACGGAGGGUGCAAGCGUUAUCCGGAUUCACUGGGUUUAAAGGGCGCGUAGGCGGGCUAGUAAGUCAGUGGUGAAAUCUCCGGGCUUAACCCGGAAACUGCCAUUGAUACUAUUUGUCUUGAAUACUGUGGAGGUAAGCGGAAUAUGUCAUGUAGCGGUGAAAUGCUUAGAUAUGACAUAGAACACCAAUGGCGAAGGCAGCUGGCUACACAAAUAUUGACACUGAGGCACGAAAGCGUGGGGAGCAAACAGG
rnacentral:rRNA from 1 species